UUAGAGGACUAGGCUGAGGCUCUGGGCUUAGCUGUGUUGCCUCUAUAUUUGGUCUAUUUUUUUGGGAGAGGGGCUGGAGUAGCAAAAGGAUAUCAUUCCCACGUGUCUCAUAGCAGAAGGAAGUGGAAUUCAGAUUCUUAUGUAAGACAGAUUUUUUCAUUUUUGACUUGUCACGAAGUGCGGUAUACGCUCUGGUAUUUGAUUACAGUCCUGAAACCAGAAGUGUUCAGAUUUAACUUCAGUGUUCUUCUCCUUUUCUCGUCUCUAAGUUCAUUUAGUCCACUUCCUUCUGGAACAGAUCAAAAGCAUUUCUUUUUGUCCAGUUGUCAACACAUAAACAAAAAUUAGGUGUAUGGAAAGAUGUUUUUUUCAGUGCUAUGGAAGCUCUAAAAAUGAAGUCCAUUCAUUCAUUCAAAACAGCCCUAUUCACAGUCAGGUGAAGUGCAGACAGACAUCGUUUUCAAGGGGGGGGGGGGAGGGGUUUGUAAGUCAGUCAGUCUCAUGAAGCCAAUGAGAAAGUAGCGUGUGGUGAGACCGAGCCUGUGUUACAUAAGCUCUAACGGAGCAGAGCAGAGCAGAGCAGAGACUGUCUACCUCUGCAGACGCAACAAUCUUCUCACGCAACACACACAUGCUGAAGGUCAAAUACUGUGGAUCACAUGGAGAACAUUCCUGCUGACCAACGCAUGGUUAAACGUGUUUGAAGGGCGCCAAUGCAGGAUGAGUGUAUUUCUUCUGUUGAGCACAAAUACAAAGGACAGAUUAAGGUCAUGGUUUCAUAACUCGUUGUUUUUUGUCUUCGUCCGAUGUCCCUGCAAAAGUUCUUCAGGCCACUGCUCUGGUCAGACUUUGCAAAUAGUUUGGUUCGGUUGAACUGCUUCCUGCCCUUUAUUGGCCCCCCAGACUAUUAUAAUCCAUUUGCCAGAGCAGAGGUCAGGUGAUCUGAUGUUUGAACAUACUUGGUAUGGCGCAGAAGCACGUCUGCACAGGAAUACACUGAUGACAUGAAGCUUGAGAAUGGCUUUGUUUCAUCAAACGUACUUAAUAUUCAAUAAAUCGUUCCAUUUUAUAUCCAC